AAUACUCAAAGGAAAUUGGCUUUUCUCCUGAAAGAGAUGGAUUCAUUAAGGAAAUUUAGAUUGUGACUUCAAUGUUCGUUUUCAUGAACAUCACUGUUCACUAAAAUCAAAACGAGAAAUAUGUUUGGAGAAGGCGUUAACUAGAUUAGUAAAUGUUGAUUCUUAUUAGCUUAUCAGCUAAAAUAUUGCAUAGUGGCAAGGAAGAGCAAAUAGCUUGGCUGGAAUGUAGGUUUCAUUUAUAUCAGGAAAAUCAGGCUGUGGAGUCUAGAAACUCCUACGUAGGUUUUACCUAGGAGUGUGACUAAUGGAAUAGAGAAGUUUAAUAGCACCAGCACAUUUCAGAAGGCUGCUGAAUAGUAGACAGUUGCAAAUACAUUAUAUUGAGGGAUCUGCUAACAGGAUGUACUCUGAACAAGAAAACAUUGCAGAAACAAUCUACAUGUAUAUCAUAGCUCCAGGAUUACUGUUCAGGGGGUCAUUUAUGUUUAUAACCUUCAAAAAUUCAAAGCUCUUACGUUAUUUGAUCAUGCUUAUUUUCAUGGGAAUCAGUGCUUUUAUUCCUAUUUAAAUGGCUAAAGUUGUUAUGCAUUGGGAGAUGGGUUUCUUAUUCUGCCUUUACGUUAUAAAAACAACAAAAUGAUAUAUUUGUUGUCUUCUCAAGUAUUUAUCCUUAUCCCUUAAAAUUAACAUCUGCCAAAUAAUUUUACCAAAGAAAAACAGGCAAAUCCAGAAUAUCUUCUUAUCUAGUGAAGGCCAUUGCUUAAAUAUGUCCACUCCAUAAAUCAAGUAAAUAACAACCCCAAGAUAUUUUCUUUUUUCACACUGAAUGCAUCCUGAAAACACGAAAUUAGGUACACCCUUUGUUGUUCUCAUAUACUGUUUAUGUGACACAUAUAAGUGAAAAUGGAUUAUGCUCUUAUAUACACAUUAAUCUCAAAAAAGACUUUUGUGCUUUUAGAAUUCACAGGCAAUGUGCAAAUUCUUGAUGAGCAUGUCUACAUUUUCUACUUAUUUUUGUGGUUGUAGUUUUGAGAUGGAGUCUAGCUCUGUCCCCUGGGCUGGAGUGCAAUGGUGCGAUCAUAGCUCACUUCAGUCUCAAAAUCCUGGGCUCAAGAGAUUGUCCCACCUCAGCCUACCGAGCAGCUAGAACCGCAGGUGCAUGUCACCAUGUCCAGCUAAUUUUUAUUUUUACUUUUAUUUUUUGUAGAGAUGUGGUCUCCCUGUAUUGCCCAGUCUGGCCUAGAACUCCUGGCCUCAACUGAUCCUCCUGACUCAGUCUCUCAAAGUGCUGGGAUUACAGGCAUGAGCCACCACACUGGCAAAUGUCUACAUUUUUUAAAACAAAUUAAACAUAAAGAGCUCAUAAAGAAUAGUCAAAGUUUAUUUGUGGAAAAAUAUAAGACUGAUCUAUAAGCUUUUAAUUCCACUAUAAUUUGUGAAUGUAAACCUCUCUUUAAGAUAAAAGCAGAUUCUAGCAUCAUGAGGUACCUGAGGGCUCUAGUUAGUUACCAAGAUGGGAAAUGUGCCUGGGGCUUUCUGUAAUUGCAUUUCCACCUUGAUUUGAUAGGGUUGAUUUGGCAAACUAGCAUUUUCUCUCUAUCUGUGUACUUCCACCAUGCUCCAGCUCAGUGAUUUUCUAAUGUUGGUGGGCAGAGAAUCAAGUAGAGACUUAGUCAACUUGGGCCCCUCUCCAGAGACCUGCCUCAGUAGAACUAGGCUGGGGUCCAAGGAAACUAUUUUUAACAAGAACCCCUUAGUAACUUUUUCUAACCUAAGAACGCUUCUACCUACAGUAUUGGCACUGCUGGAUAGAGUGGCCGGUGUGAGUCAAAUGAGGGUGCAUGCUCUAAAUUCUAAACCAGUAUCAAGAUUCAUCUGUGGAGAAUAUAGUGUUAAAUAAUGUUAUUUGUGAUUAAGCAUUAGCGUGUAUAGAAUUAAGUCAUGAACACUUUUCAUAGAAUGCAAACAAUGUAUACCCCACAUGACAUUAAAAAUCUAUGUCAUCAUUGUCAUCAUCAAAAUUACUAUUUGACAAACUCUUUUAAGAACGUGUGUACAUACACACCAUUUGCAAGCAACAAAAGUGACAGAGGGAAAACGCUUCACUCAAGAUACACAGAACGAGGCCCAUAUGGAGAAAUGGACAGAAGUUACUGACAAAUAAAAUAAAAGAUUUGAACAGUAAGAAAAAUCUGCCUGUGUCUACACAGAAAGUUGGCUAUUAUAAAGAUGAAAAUUCUCCCUAAAUCAAGUUACAUAUUCCUGAAAACAAAACGUGAUUAUUUUUCCUGAAAGAAACUAUCCUCCAAAACAGAGGGAGCCAUUUUAUAUUUGACUUCUUACAAAAUCUCUCAUAACGUGGGGGCCUCUCUCUAUUUUAUUUCAAACUUCAUUUUGGGAAGACACAAAGGCUCUUGAAAUGAGAGCCACCAAUGUUUGUUUUAGAUGCUUAUAAAGCUUACCUCAUGGAGCUGUUAACAUAGCAAAAUAAAUUUUUUAACAAAGGAAAAUUUGGUAACUAUUUCUGGGGUAAAGAUUUUACAAUAGCAAGUAUUAUCACUAGACAUUACUUUAAAUGUGGAUUUUUUUAAAUCAUGGUAGAAAACAAUAUAAAAAGUGUUCAUGUGGCAGUUGUUAAGAAUACACAUCUUCAGGGUUUUUUAAUAUAAAAAGGGGAAAGAACAGUCUCAUUAUUAUAUGCAUAGUUUCUCUGAUUUGGUACAAAAUUUCCCAGUGAUGUCAUUGUGGAAUGAUCCAAGUGUUGCCUGUCAGCAGAGAUAGGAGUGAAGUUGAUGAUGAUGGUUAGAUGGCCUCACAAGGGACUCUAGUGAUAGUAAAGGUUCCAGUGGCAAACACACAAGUGAAAAGUUUGAAUAUAGUUUCAUAAUGUUUGAGAGUGUAAAAAAUGCAUUUUUAAAUUAAUGCAUUACUUUCUGUACUAUUUUAAAUAAGUGUGUAUCUAAAUAAACACAUAAAAUGUUAUGAGUAAA
rnacentral:lncRNA from 10 species